rnacentral:rRNA from 1 species
UACAGGGGGUGCAAACGUUGCUCGGAAUCAUUGGGCGUAAAGCGCACGUAGGCGGUUCGUUAUGUCGGAUGUGAAAGCCCUUGGCUUAACCGAGGAAGUGCAUCCGAAACUGGCGAGCUAGAGUACGAAAGAGGAGCGCGGAAUUCCCGGUGUAGCGGUGAAAUGCGUAGAGAUCGGGAGGAAGGCCGGUGGCGAAGGCGGCGCUCUGGAACGUUUCUGACACUGAGGCUCGAAAGCGUGGGGAGCAAACAGG